CCGGGAGGGGGGAAAUGUGAUGAGCACGCCGCGUGAGUGAUGAAGGUUUUCGGAUCGUAAAGCUCUGUCUUUGGGGAAGAUAGUGUCGGUGCCCAAGGACGAAGCCACUGCUAAUUACGUGCCAGCAGCCGCGGUAAUACUGCGUGCCAGCAGCCGCGGUAAUAAGGGACCCACCACCCCC
rnacentral:rRNA from 1 species